GGGUCAGUAGGUUGGUCGUGCCACCGGUACGUACUGGUCUCACUGAUUCCUCCCUCCUGAAGAACCGUAAUGCCAUUAAUUUGGUGUUGCGGGGAAACAGGACUGUUACUUUGAAAAAAUUAGAGUGUUUAAAGCAAGCUAACGCUUGAAUACAUUAGCAUGGAAUAAUGAAAUAGGUCGAUCGAUCCUAUUUUGUUGGUUUCUAGGAUUGACGUA
rnacentral:rRNA from 1 species